GAGAACGCUGGCGGCGUGCUUAACACAUGCAAGUCGUACGAGAACACUUCUGCUUGCAGAAGUAAGUAAAGUGGCGCACGGGUGAGUAACGCGUGGGUAAUCUACCCUCGAAUUGGGGAUAACAUUGCGAAAGCGAUGCUAAUACCGAAUAAUAUCCAGUUUUUUUUUGAAUUUCUGGAUCAAAGAUGGCCUCUUCUUGAAAGCUAUUGUUUGAGGAUGAGCCCGCGUCCCAUUAGCUUGUUGGUAGGGUAACGGCCUACCAAGGCAACGAUGGGUAGCUGGUCUGAGAGGAUGAUCAGCCACACUGGAACUGACACACGGUCCAGACUCCUACGGGAGGCAGCAGUGAGGAAUUUUGCGCAAUGGGGGAAACCCUGACGCAGCAACGCCGCGUGAGUGAUGAAGGCUUUCGGGUCGUAAAGCUCUGUCAAGUGGGAAGAACCUGCAUUUGGCUAAUAUCCAUUUGCACUGACGGUACCACUAAAGGAAGCACCGGCUAACUCCGUGCCAGCAGCCGCGGUAACACGGGGGGUGCAAGCGUUACUCGGAAUCAUUGGGCG
rnacentral:rRNA from 1 species